GGGUCAGGAGGUUGGUCGUGCCACCGGUACGUACUGGUCUCACUGAUUCCUCCUUCCUGAAGAACCGUAAUGCCAUUAAUUUGGUGUUGCGGGGAAACAGGACUGUUACUUUGAAAAAAUUAGAGUGUUUAAAGCAAGCUAACGCUUGAAUACAUUAGUAUGGAAUAAUGAAAUAGGACGAUCGAUCCUAUUUUGUUGGUUUCUAGGAUUGACGUA
rnacentral:rRNA from 1 species